CAGCUGGCUUUUUUGUCUUCUUCCGCCUUGAACCACGACCCCCACCCCACCCCACUCCUCCUCCUCCACCUCUACAGAAGCACCAAGACGCACAUAGACAGUCGUGUGCUCCCUCCUUUUCUUGUUUUUCUUUUCCUCCUCCACUUCCUCAGUCUCACUGUCGUUGUGGUGCGUGCUUAGACGCCUCUCUCACAGGCACACAAGCUCUCUCUCUCUCUCUUUCUGUGGCGCUCCGCUUCCGUUAUUUCAGGACUUUCUUGUGUUUGCUUCUCCGCCUCUUCUCUCACUCUCGCCCGCCGUCCCUGCUGCACAGCACACACGCAGAGCACCGUCUUUUCACCAUACACACAGCAUAACCGACAGCUGCAUCAUGUCCGGCCACCAUCACACAAGCGACCCGAACCUGACGCAGAACCAGGGCAACAUGCUUGGCGAUCGUCCGUGCGUGCGGCAGAGCCGCCUGUACCGCGAAGGCUGCAGCGGCAACGUGAUGAAGGAGAUACUCGGCCAGUCGGAGCUGUCAUGGAAAACGGACCAGACAGAAGGCUGCUACGGUGGUGGCCAUGUGUAUGACCACAACACCGAGGAUCACCGUGCGGUGCCUACCCAACAACCGCAGCAGAAGCAGCACCAACCUCCUCCUCCGCAACCGCAGCAGCAGACCGUGUCGGCCAGCACUGGCCGCGGCCUUCGUCCCGGCGCCGGCUAUGCCAACCGCCAGACGUACAACAUCUUCAGUGGACAGUAAGAUGCCGCUACGUCGUCCUCCCCUACCCACCGUCAUGUGCGCGCAGAUGCGCACCGCUCAUGGAUGCGAGGAGAGAGGUAAAAUGGAACAAAUAGGCGGGAGUCGUUUGAGGACACGUCAGACUGUCUGCCCUCCCCCCUCCCCACUACCUCAUACUGUGAAGCGGAUAGAGUUGACGUGAUGCAGAAGCAAGAGCAGCAGUACCGGCCUCCCCAUCUUGGGUCUGUGUGUGUGUGUGUGAGGGGGAGGGGGGUAUGCCGUGGCUGGCGCAAUCCGAUGUACUCGCUCUCUCCUCCUUCUCCCACCUCUCUUGAUCUUUUACCGUGUAGCUCGUCUUUGUGGUGGCCGCCGAUGCCGCUGCAGCGUGUGUGUACUUAUACAUGCACAAAAGAUGCGUGCUGGCACAGGUACCAACUGUCUUGACACACCAAGGUCGCCAACGCAGCGUGUAUUUGCUCUUUUUUUUUGAGGUGAGGUGGGGUGGGUAUUUCGCCUCCCCCUCCUCCUCCCUUGCGGGCCCUCGCUCUCGUCUUUACUCCCGCCACACUCCGCUGCCCGUCAUGGACGUGCUUUCCUCGAUACCCUCUCGCCCUUCUUCUCUGUCGACUCAACGCUACUACGCUCACGUCAUGUUUUAUGGUGUGCCUCUUUCCUGCUCCUUACAUUCCGCGUGCGUGGGGCUGUCCGCCGCUGGUAUCGUUUCGGUAGUUGGUGCAGUUGCAUAUCUGAGUGUGAGUAUGUGUGGGGAGGGAGACGGGGCUGGUGGCAGCGUGGCUAACAGGAGUCUCGCUCCUCGUCCCACCUCCUCUUCCGCCCGCCUCCUUGCAUCCUUUCCUUCGCGACCCCUAAUGCGCACAUACCAAUAUCUGUGAGAGCGCAACCGGCGCGUGUGUCGGCGUCGAAGUCGAGAGAGCAGAACAAGAAGCGGCGGAGAAGGGGAAGGCCAACGCUGCGGCGAUGGUAGGAGGCAUACAGACCCCCAUCGACGGCAGCGCAGAACAGUAAAUCAUGUAUACAUACAAAUCUAUAUUUAUAUCUAUCUAUGCGCCUAUUCUGAUGCCCGCCAGUCAGCAUGGUUGGCCGUCGAACGCACCACGGAGAGGCGUUUUGUUGGGGCUUUUUUUUUGGUUUGCUUUGAGGGUUUGGGGGGGUUGUGUGUCGGCAGCUGCAUGUUUGCUCUUCUUCUCCGCUCGAUGUGUGUGUGUGUGUGUGUGUGUGUGUGUGUGUGUGUGUGUGUGUGUGUGUUGCGGGGCAGGGAGUGGGGCUGCCAGAGAGCGCUCGUCGAUGCCAACAGAAAAAAGGCCGCUGAGGGGGGCCGCGGUGGUAAAGUGUGGGUGGCGUUGUCCUCCUCCUUUGUUUGGGUUUCUGUGUUACGCUUACCACUGUACAGAAAUAACGAGAGGGAAAUCACGUCUCGAAGACAGCAGAGUCCACGCACGCACUGGCAGACAUGCACACACACCCUACAUGUGCGCCUCCCCAUGAUGUGUGGUGGUUCCAUGUGAUAUCCAGACGGCCUGUAUGCGUUGCUUUCGCGUGUUUCUACUAUCCUCUAAAGCGAUGCUCUCUGAAUACGGAGACAGUUGCAGACGAGGAGGCGCGGAAAAGGCGAGAGACGCCAAAAC
rnacentral:misc_RNA from 1 species